CAUGCGUGGAACAUUCGAUCACUGGCUGUGUAGCUAACGGCUAAGCUACGGAUCCAGCCGACAUGGAGAGGAAAGUGCUGGCACUCCAGGCGAGGAAGAAGAGGGUGAAAGCAAAGAAAACCAACAAAAAGCUGACGGGCAGGGCUGAGAUGGAUUUUGGUAGCCCGAUCAGAAAAAUCGCUAG